CAGUAGCCGCGGUAAUACGUAGGGUGCAAGCGUUAAUCGGAAUUACUGGGCGUAAAGCGUGCGCAGGCGGUCCGCUAAGACAGAUGUGAAAUCCCCGGGCUUAACCUGGGAACUGCAUUUGUGACUGGCGGGCUAGAGUAUGGCAGAGGGGGGUAGAAUUCCACGUGUAGCAGUGAAGUGCGUAGAGAUGUGGAGGAAUACCGAUGGCGAAGGCAGCCCCCUGGGCCAAUACUGACGCUCAUGCACGAAAGCGUGGGGAGCAAACAGGAUUAGAUACCCCAGUAGUCCCUGUCUCUUAUAC
rnacentral:rRNA from 1 species